rnacentral:rRNA from 1 species
UACGUAGGGUGCAAGCGUUAAUCGGAAUUACUGGGCGUAAAGCGUGCGCAGGCGGUCCGUUAAGACAGAUGUGAAAGCCCCGGGCUUAACCUGGGAACUGCAGUGAGGACUGGAUGGCUGGAGUGUGGCAGAGGGGGGUGGAAUUCCACGUGUAGCAGUGAAAUGCGUAGAGAUGUGGAGGAACACCGAUGGCGAAGGCAGCCCCCUGGGCUAACACUGACGCUCAGGCACGAAAGCGUGGGGAGCAAACAGG